UCGAUGGAGAGUUUGAUCCUGGCUCAGGACGAACGCUGGCGGCGUGCUUAACACAUGCAAGUCGAACGGUGAACCGCUUUCGGGCGGGAAUCAGUGGCGAACGGGUGAGUAACACGUGGGUAACCUGCCC
rnacentral:rRNA from 1 species